UACGUAGGGUGCGAGCGUUGUCCGGAAUUACUGGGCGUAAAGAGCUCGUAGGUGGUUUGUCGCGUUGUUCGUGAAAACUCACAGCUCAACUGUGGGCGUGCGGGCGAUACGGGCAGACUGGAGUACUGCAGGGGAGACUGGAAUUCCUGGUGUAGCGGUGGGAAUGCGUAGAUAUCUGGAGGAACACCGGUGGCGAAGGCGACAUCCUGGACCGGUAUUGACGCUGAGGCGCGAAAGCCAGGGGAGCAAACGGG
rnacentral:rRNA from 1 species